CAACGGGAAGAGCGGCAAGCUCAAUUUGAAAUCCUGCGGGAAUUGUAAUUUGAAGGUUUCGUGGUCUGAGUCGGCCGCGCCCAAGUCCAUUGGAACAUGGCGCCUGGGAGGGUGAGAGCCCCGUAUGGCGCACGCCGACUCUUUGCACCGCGGCUCCGACGAGUCGAGUUGUUUGGGAAUGCAGCUCUAAGUGGGUGGUAAAUUCCAUCUAAAGCUAAAUAUUGGCGAGAGACCGAUAGCGAACAAGUACAGUGAUGGAAAGAUGAAAGCACUUUGAAAGAAGUGAAACAGCAGUGAAAUUGUUGAAGGAAGGCUUGCAGAAAAGGUUUAACGGGCAGCGCAAAGGGGGAGAACAAACUCAAAGGGGCGACUUGGCGCGUGUAACCGGUGACCUCAUCCUUUCAG
rnacentral:rRNA from 1 species